GGGUCAGUAGGUUGGUCGUGCCACCGGUACGUACUGGUCUCACUGAUUCCUCCUUCCUGAAGAACCGUAAUGCCAUUAAUUUGGUGUUGCGGGGAAACAGGACUGUUACUUUGAAAAAAUUAGAGUGUCUAAAGCAAGCUAACGCUUGAAUACAUUAGCAUGGAAUUAUGAAAUAGGACGAUCGAUCCUAUUUUGUUGGUUUCUAGGAUUGACGUA
rnacentral:rRNA from 1 species